UAGUCUUCAACCUAGAAACAAGCGUUUGGACACUCAGACGUUUUAGAAUAAAAUAAAAUAUACGGUUUUAACUUAAAAGAUGAAUCACCUUACAAGACUUCUAAGAAAUCUGCAUGUUUUACCAGUGAAAGGACAAUUUACCUCCCCUAGUUGCAGUUUUAUUUCAAGAGGAUUUACCUCUCUUACUUGCAGUUCAAAAGGAACAUGUGCUGUGAGCUCAGUUUUGACAGUAAAACCUUUAGAAGUGCAGCCUUACAGGAAUUACAAAGCGAAACGAGUGUUGAAGAAGCGCUGUGCUGGUUGUUACUUUGAAAGGCGUUUUGGACGUUUAUAUGUAGAAUGCACUUUGAAACCAAGACAUAAACAGAUGCAGUUAGUUUCUGGAAUGGGUCUUUAUAGAGAUGAUUAUUCUACUAAGAAUUGGAGAAGAUCUGUUCACUGGCAGUAUAGAACCAACGGAAAACUACAUAAAUGGGGAGAUAACUCUGAAUUUUCAAGGUUUAACUGGCUAGAGGGAAGAUUAGGGAAAGACAUUUGAUAUUUUUAAUGUCAUAUGGAAGAGUUGGAAAGAGACAUUGUCACUUUUGGUAUCAUGCAUUAUAAGAAGAUAAGAAAAUGUAUUGAUUUUUUCAUGUCAUAAAGAAGAGAUGGAAAAGAGACAUUUGACCCCUUUGGUAUCAUAUAGGAAAUUUAUAGGAAAAUACAUUGAUAUUCCUGAUGUCGUGUAGCUAUACUGUAAAAUUGUUUAAUUUUGAAAUUGGUAUCAACAGACACUUAAGCUUUUUAAAUGCUAUUUUGCAUACAUUUAAACUCUUUUUCAUAGCUGAAUUUUAAAAAGAAAGACGGGUUUAUAUACUUUGUUAUGUGAAAAUAUUUUUCUAUUUAAAUAUGUUACCCAAUCAAAAGCUUUCAAGACUGAUUUAAUGAUGGCAUCUAAAGAACAAGUAACUACAUGUAAUGGCUUUUAGGAUUUCUGUAUAAUCUAUUUAAUGUAAAAUUGCUUAGGAUAUCAAAGUUAAGGCACCAAAGAGCAGUUGUCAGAAUUUAUCAGGACGACAGUGGAGAAAAAUUUAGACAGGAGUCAAAUUUGUGUGGAAAUUGUCAAUGUAUAUGGAGUACUAAAUGUAAUUGUUUUCAUUCAUUUUUUCAUUGAUGAUCAGCAUGAAUUUAUGAUAGUAUGAAAAAUUAAGAAUAAAUUUAAAAUAUAAAUGAAGUAACAGAAUUCCAA